AGUAGCACCGGUCACCCGUGCCUCCCCUGCUCAGGCUAGCAUGGUCGCGCCUUUCACCGGCCUCAAGUCCAUCGCAUCAUUCCCCGUCACCCGAAAGCUCGAGAAUGACAUUACCUCUAUUACCAGCAAUGGAGGAAGAGUUCAAUGCAUGAAGGUAUAUAUCUAUACUACUUAAUACUCAUAUAUAUAGUAUGUGCUCAUGCGGAUCUAGUAUAACAUGACAGAACAUUCUUAAUUACUUAUUGCUCUCAAAGUAGCAUAGCUUUGGAAUUUUCCUUGGAUAUGUGAAUAAUUUACAAAAAUUAUGAUUCACAGAAAUCAUGUGUGUGUCAAUGUGUGAGGACCUAAGCAUUCGCCCCUGAAGUGAAGUAGAUUUUAAUUCAAUAAUGAAAUUGAAUUGUACCUUAAUUAGCUUGCUCUCAGUGAGACAGUAACCCCACUCACAGUCUCACUAAAUAGUCGGUAAUGUAUAUUCUUAUAAAGACAUGGUCACGUUCUUCAAAUUUUGCAAUGCAAUACUGUUUCUAAAAAAAGUAUCAAGGAGAACACACCUUGGUUCUGAAAGUGAAUAAGAAAUUAGUUAGCUAACAUAUGUGAAUGGUGCAAGCGCAGGUAUGGCCACCAAUUAACAUGAAGAAGUUCGAGACACUCUCGUACCUUCCUCCUCUCACCACCGAACAAUUGGCAAAGGAGGUCGACUACCUUCUCCGUUCCGGAUGGGUUCCUUGUCUGGAAUUCGAGUUGGAGGUAACCACUUUCUUCCUACACAUUUUUCAUGUUCUCUGUUACAUGUUUCUUGACAUUGCUGAUGACAAUUGUGUGUUAAACCGAAAUGUAGCACGGUUUCGUGUACCGUGAGCACAACAAAUCCCCCGGAUACUAUGACGGACGAUACUGGGUUAUGUGGAAGCUUCCCAUGUUCGGGUGCACCGACUCAUCGCAGGUGUUGAAGGAGCUUGAUGAGUGCGUCAAGGAGUACCCCCAGGCCUACGUCCGUAUCAUCGGAUUCGACAACGUUCGCCAAGUCCAGUGCAUCAGUUUCAUUGCUCACCAGCCAGAAUGCUGAUCAAUCUGUCUGUUGAUUUCAUAUAUUUAUCUAUCUUGUUCGGCUCAUAUAUAAACUUCUUGCAAUUUCAUUUCAUUCCUUUCAGUUUUAAAUUUCUCACUUGUAUCUCCAACACAAGGAAAUUUGAACUAUAGAGGAUUAUAUGUAGCGACUGUUGGUGAUUAUAUAUAUCUACUUGUUUGUUUUCCCUGCACCUUCUAAAUACUUGCAUCAUAUGCUUUCAUGUCGUGAUGUACUUUUUUAUAUAUCUCCGAUUCUCCAUGCAGUAAUUAAGCGUGCACUGCAUCAAAAUAACAAGAAACCAUCUACAAGGAGCUUUAGUCUUUAGAUGAACAAAACGAAUACUUUCAUAACUGCAUAUACCAAAACGGCAAAACAUGUAUUAGAAUUCCAACAAAGCUGAUAAGCUUCAACAAAAUUGCAACAUCUGCUAAUGCUACAAGAAACCUAUACAGAUGGACGCAAUCAAAAUCUUAAAGUAAGCAUAUAUACAAACAUUGUGUACUUUACUUAUUAGUACUAUAUCUCUCUAACUGGGAACCCGUUUGUCUGAGCUUAUGGCUUAUGAUUUAUCGUGACUUAUUACUUAACGUGAUUUAUUUGAUAAGCUGAGAGUUUAAAAUGUCUGUUUGGUAAUUUUGACGUAUUAAUGACUUAUGAGUUAUUAAAAAUACAAUAACAACAAUAAAAGUGAUUUAUGAGUAAUUUAUAACUUAGGAGUAAUUUUUUUCAAAAAAAAAAUUCAAUAAAAUUAGCCACUGAAAAAAGUAUCUCAAAUUAACUUCUGGCUUUAAAUCAGCUUCUAGCUUAUUUCUGAUUUUAAGCCGACUUCUGACUUAUUACACAAACAGACAUUUUUCAGCUUAAAGUCAGAGAUAACUUAAAGUCCGGGCUUUAAGCCCAGACAAACAAGCUCUAGGUGGCAAGCUCUGGAUCUUCUUAGUUAGUUGAGUUAAUUAGUUGGGAAUGUUGUUAAUGUGUUUGAUAAUCCAACCUCCCCUCCCAAAUCCACCGUCGCCUCUUCUUUUCUCAUCUUUUUAGCCUUCUUUUUCAAAUUUAACAGAGCUUGAAUGAUACUCGCGACCACACUUUCGCACUCCAGUCAACUUCGGAAUGUUUGCUUUUGCGCAAUUAUUGUACUGCUUCCCUCCAUUUAUCUACCUUUAACGUAUUUUUAAUAUUUAAAUUAGAAAAUUUAAUAAAUUUCUUAAAUAACGAAGCAUAUUAUCUUACUUGCAUGAAGGUAAAUCAUACGUUCUUGUAAAUUUAAUGGUAUAAUUUAGAAAUUGGAGUUUAGAAGUACUAGAGUCAUGUAUUUUACCUGAUGGUCUCGUAUGUAAGAGCAACUCUAAUGGGGUGCCAAAAAGAGUGUCAAAGUGCCAUGUGGCAUGACGUGGCAUGACACUCUUGUUGACUCUCCAUUGGAAUGGAAGGGGUGUCAAGUAAAGUUGUCAAUUUUUGGCACCCUCCUAAAAUGAAAAGAAGUGUAUAUAUCACCCUAAAGCAUAUAGUUCCCUAUCUUUUUAUACUUAUAUUUGUAUUUUGUUUGGUUUAUAUAAAAAAAAUUAUAUUGUACAAUUAUGUGGCAACUUUGGUUGCCAACCAUUGGAGCAAAUUUUUACAAAUAAAGAGAGAGAAGAUAAAAUAAUACUACCUCCAUCCCAAAUUAGAUGUCCCCGUUGACUUUGUUCACGUAACUUUAGGUGCAUUGACCGUCUACUUCCGAAAUUUAUUUUUUUAUUUUUUCUUUUAUAAAUGAAAAUUUCAUAUUUUAAUUUUUAUUUGCAAAAAUAAAAUUUUAAAAAUGAUUUACGUAUCUAUGCGGUUAAUUAACCUUAAAUUGUGUGCUCAAAGUCAACAGAGUCAUCUAAUUUGGAAUGGAGGGAGUAAUACUUUUGAUGAUGUGUCAUUUUAAGCAACUUUAGUUGGCACCCCCAUUGGAGAUGCUUUAACUGUGUUUACACGUGGGUUUUGCUGCUUACAGAGUUACAGUUACAGCUCAUAUAACAUACUCCCGCCAUUUCACAUGUGACUUCAUCUUUUGACUAGGGUUUUGAUAUCCCAGCUUGCAUGAUUUGUGUCCAUCGGUUGCUCAGCUGAGACGAUCUUAGUGCUAUCUUAUCGAACACUCCGUGAAUCGGAGUUAGUCAGUGGAAAAUCAUGGAUUAAUCAGAUAAUCGGAGAUUAAUCGGUCCAAUAAUCGGAGUCAAUUUAAUAUUUUUUUAAUAUAUUAUAAAUUUAUAAUUUUAUAUAAUCAAAAUAGCAAAUAUUUUUAUACCUCAAACUAGGACUUUAAAAUGAUCUGGGCGAUAAUGAGUACCCAUCUCCUCAAGUAUCGGAUCAUAUUAUUUUUAGUUUGCCCAGAUUUGGGUCUGAGAUUAUUUUAUUCGGAUAUAAACCGAUCCCGGAUAUUUGAGAUCCAGAUCUAAACCGAAUAUGAUCCAAUAUCGUAUUUUCUACUUUUUAAUCGGGUAGUUUAUGAUCCGUUAAAUAUGAGCCUGAUAUGAUCCACUAAUAUUAAAUAUCAUUAUUAUUUCAAUUAUUCAAAUAAUUAUUAUUUAAUCUAAGUAAACAUACUAUUAUAAAUUAUAAUAAUUUAAAUUAAAACUUAUAAUUAUAUGUUGGUAUAUAUAUAUAUUUGAAGAUAUUUAGCAUUAUCACAUUAAAUAAAUCAUAUUUUACGAAGAUAUAAACUUAAAUAAGAUAUUAAAAUUUUAUAAAAUGAUGACUAUUUAAUUACAAAUGUGAUGUAUUUAAAAUAUAAUAUGUACAUUAGUUCGAAUCGAAUAUGAACCUUGAUUCAUAUUCGGGUAUUUGGGCAGGAUCAUAUUAUGAAUAAUUACAUGAGACCGAAUCUGAGCGGGUAUAACUGUGCUCAUAUCCGGGAUCAUAUAUUAUACGGGCUUAAUUUUUCCGCCAGAUUUGGAUCGUUUCCAAACGGAUAUGAGACAUUUAUCAUAUUUUCGAGCCGGAUUUAAGUCUAGACACCGUAUAAUCCAUAUCGAUUUACAGCCUACCUCAAACAAAUACACACACAUGUAUAUAUAUUAGCACAAACAAAAAUAUAUAUUUGUAAGUAUUUUACAUAAUUCCACGACAUAAUUUAAUAAAAAAUUGUAUCUUUAUACAUAAUUAUAUUUCCAAGUACAAUUUUUCAUAAUCGUUAAAACUGUAAUUGAAUAAUUUUCAUAUUUUUUUGAAUUUUUUAUAAAUUUGAACUAAUAGUUUUUAAUAAAAAAUAAAAAUUAAUUUUUUAAAUAUUGGACCAAAUUUUGACCAAUUUUGCCGACUUUUGACCGAUUUUACCAACUUUUAACCGAUUUUUACCGACUUUUUAAAAAAACAGUUUUUUACCCGAUUAACGAUUAAUCGAGAAGUUUUUUGUCUGAAUAGCGAUUAAUCCCUAACUAAUCGCAGACUUUUAGGACACUGCUUCCCGUAUUUAAUCCGAAAUUGAUGAGACAUUUAUUCCCACAAGAAACAAUAGAUAUCAUGAUGAGAAAAUGUCAACAAAAUACUCCCUCCGUUUUAAUUUACAUGUCCACUUUGUAAAAAAAGUUAUGUUUCAAAUUACUUGUCCACUUCAACUUUCAAUGCAAAAUCAUAUUUCCAAAGUCAAUUAUACUCCACAUAUCUCGUAUUUAUAUUUCCUACAUCAAUCUCACUCCACAUGUUAUGGUCAUUUAAUAGAAUUAAUUUGUGAACAACCACUUUUCUUAAACUGUGUGAUUUUUUGAAAGUGGACAUCUAUUUUGAAACGGAGGGAGUACAAUUUAUACCGAGAAUCGCAAGGAGUAUUUUAAUAAAUAUGCCGAUCUUAAUUACUCCCUUUGUCCCUCUUUAUCUCUCCACUUUGGAAGUAAAAAUUUGUCCCUAUUUAUCUGUCCAUUUAUACUUUUAAAACUAAUUUAAUGAUAGUUUUUCAAAUAUAUCUCCAUAAUUUCAAUUUUCAAGACUUGACUUAUUUAAAACUUAGUUGAAUUCAUGUUUUCAAGACAUAAAGUAGGGGUAUUCCACCAUUUUCAAGAUAUUAAUUAGAGGUAUUUAAUAAAAAAGUUUAUACAAUUAAUUAUUCCUUGGUAUGUGUUUUUUUUUCUCAAAAUGGACAGAUAAAAAGGGACGGAGGGAGUAACUUAUAGACACAACGUGCAGAAGAAUCCUAAAAUCUAAAAACACCACAUUUUCUAGUGUCUUGCACAUAUUUUAGGUUCUGUAAAUAGAAUUUUGAGCAAAAUCCCCUUAAUACAUAAUUGAAUAAAGACCCCUCCUAGAGAUCAACUCUGCCGGCGGAACUAGGGAAGAAACCUUAGUUCAGUCAUAAAGAUUUAUUUUUAUUUUUUUCAGAUUUUUUUAUUUGAUCUCUGGGAAAUAACAGUGAAGCAAUAACAUAUUUAUUAUGCAAAUUUUAAUUCCAGAUACGAUUCCUGUCAUUGACUAACAGGCCAAAGUCAUUUUCUUAAUGGGCUCUAUUUUCUUGACCAAAAUCAUUUUGUUUCCCCUACUAUCUUCCCUAAGCCCAUGUAUUUAAAUUUCAAUUACGCCCAACCACUAGCCCAGAGUAGUUGGGCCAUAAGUUAACCGUCCAACGUCAAAAUGAAUCAUAGGUUAAUUGAUUUUUAUUCAUAAAAACUGUAUGUACGUGAAUCCAGGGCAGAGGACGGAAGAUAAGAGCAAGUCCAACAGCUGCCCUAUUUAGUGUCCUAAGUCAUAAUAUAGGGCAUUUGAUGAAAAAACUUGAUCCAACAAUGUCCUAGUGAUGCCCUAUAUCACUAGGACAACCCAUUCAAGCCCUAUUUUUGAGGCACUCUCUCUCCUUGCCUUAUCUCAUAUUUUAUAAUAAAUUCUUACCAACACUCUCUUUCUCUCUCUAUUUUAUAUUAUGUUUUAAUGAUGAAAGAGAACUUUUAAUAAUAAAAUAUUAAACAUAUAGUGAAAAUAAGGCACAUUGUUGGAGUUGAAGUUAGUAUAAUAUGUCCUAGACUACUAGGACAUAAUUUUUUAUAUUACAUUUUGGGUUCAAACUAGGACACUGUUGGACUUGCUCUAAGUACAUAACUCAUUAUUUGGGUUAUGGGACUCAUUAUUUGAGACACUGUUGGAAUUAUAGUCUGGGUUACUUGUUAAAGUCUAACAUCACAAGUUAUUGUUCUUAAAAUUAUUAGGAAACCAGGAUUGAAGCUCAAAAUUAUCACCACUACAUCCUCCUUUCUUCGUCCCUUUUUACUUGUCACAUUGUUAUUUUUGUUGGUCAAAUUGACUAACUUUUGACCAAAGAUUAAUUACUACUCUUUCAAUAUUUUGAAAAAAUAAAAAUUAUAUCUUAAAGUAGAUUAAAAGUUAUUUCCGAUAACAUAUUUUUUUUUUUCAAUUGAUAAAAUAUUAAUAAAUUUCAGUCAAAUUUUGGUCAAUUUGACCUGCACAAAACCAAAUGUGACAACGAAAAUAGGACGGAUGGAGUAUUUCGUGGUGAAACAAAUUUGGCCUAAAUGACAGUCUUAGGGGGUGUUUAUACCGUUAUAAACGCCUUAAGACAAAAUGACUGUCUUAGGGGGUGUUUGUUUCCGGCUUAAAAGUGGUUUAUAAGUCAGAAGCACUUAUUCGUAUUGUUUGUAAAAGUCAAGAAGCAUUUAUAAAAAGCUAGGAAUGCUAACUUUUGUUUUAAGGCUUCCGUUUCUUUCCCAAACACUUUAAGCACUUAUAAGUCUUAACUUGGUUUUAACUUCUACUCCACUUUUUUAUUUCAAUCAAGAAUCACUUAUUUUAAACUCACCCAAACGGCCCCUUAAUAUGGGAUUACUACAUUUUGGACCACGAACACUGUUUGAACUAUGUGAUAUAGUUUCUUUACUAAGCCGUACUCCUUCAGUCCCAUCCAUUUCUUUACACUUUCCUCUUUUGGAUGUCCCACCCAAUUCUAUACAUUUCAAAACUUACCAAAAAUAGUCAAUGAGUCCCACCACUUCUACAUUUUUCUUUCCUUUUCACAUUACUUUAACUCCACUAUCUUCUUUUUAUACAUUAAAAAUCGAUGGAUCCACCACUUUACCUACUUUUCUCCCUCUUUUCCACUACUUUAUACAUAUUUUUUAACCUCCGUGCCCAACCCAUUCGAUAAGAAAUGGGUGGGACGGAGGGAGUACUACAAACUCUAGAACUGGAAGGACUAUGGGCCACUUAAAUGCAGCAUAUAUCUUGCAAUUUGAGCAAAAUAAUGGAGCAAAUUCCGAAUGCAAUCUAUCCAUACAUUACACUCAAGUGUGAACUAAGGGAAAGAACAAUCCGUAUAUUUUAAGGAUUCUAGUUCCUGGCAUGUGUAUGAUUUUGUUGGAUGAUAAAUGCAUCCAACGGCAUGAUUAUAACAAAAAUUCCUCAUGUCAGAAUGUUUUAUUUUUCUGCAUAUGAUAUGAAACUUGAAUAAUAAGAGGAAGGGGGAAAGUGAUGCAACUGCAAUUGAAGAAGUCAGUAGUCACUUAUUUAAAUUUCAAAGUACAAAGCCCAAAUAAGCAAUUUCCAAAGAGCUAAGCAAUGAAGGGCCAAGAAAUGGCUAGCUACUGCUAAAGAAAGCAAGUCCUCAUUCCUUGAUCAGAAGAGAUAAGGCAACCGCUCUCAUGCCACGUGUCAACUCAAUAAGAGUGUUUAAUGAUAAGGCAACCAAUCCAAAUUGCUCACACUGUGUGGCUACCAUGUUGCCUUGUCAACUUCACUGUAAUUCAAUGGUCAGAAAAAUUCUGAACUUUAGGAGGUGAAUUGGGAACCAUUGGAUCAGCAGGUUAAACGAUAAUGAGAUGAAAUGCCUAUAUAUUGGAUAGGUGAAGGAACAGAAGCAAGCCUCUCAAACACAAGAGAAGAAAGUAAAAGAACAAGAAGAGAGUAUUAGUACUCAUGGCUUCUUCAAUGAUAUCAUCAGUAGCACCGGUUACCCGUGCAUCCCCUGCUCAGGCUAACAUGGUCGCGCCUUUCACCGGCCUCAAGUCCAUCGCAUCAUUCCCCGUCACCCGAAAGCUUGAGAAUGACAUUACCUCUAUUACCAGCAACGGAGGAAGAGUUCAAUGCAUGAAGGUAUAUAUCUAUACUACUUAAUACUCAGAUAUAUUAUGUGCUAAUGAGGAACCAGUAUAACAUGGCAGAACAUUUCUUAGUUAGUUAUUGCUCAUUUGCUCUCAAAGUAGCACAAUUCUAAGUCAGAUAAAGCAGUCCUAGGUAACUUUAGAGUGAGUAACUUCAGAAUUUUCCUUGAAUAUGUCAAUAAUAUACAAAAAUUAUGUCAACACCUCGAUUAAAAGAUUGUUUUGCUUGUAUUUUCCUCCUGAGCUGAUCUGAGAAAUUUUGUUCUCAAGUCAAACAAUUAGAGACUUUAGCUCAAGAGAAAUGUCACCCCCUGGCAUUGUAGCCUGCGGGAUGUCCUCUAUAUUUUACCAUAGUAACCAUGUCGCCCCUCAAGUGAAGUAGAAUUUAAUUCAAUAAUGAAAUUGAACUACCCAGUAGAGGAAAUUUCUAGUUUUUUUGUAUAAUUUCCACCUUAGCUUGCUCUUAGUAACCCCCCUCAGUCUCAUUAAAUAGUCGGAAAUGUAUAUUCUUAUGAAGACAUGAUCACGUUCUUCAAAUUUUGCAAUCCAACACUGUUUCUAGACAAAUAUACAAUCUGUCGGUUUGUAAUUGAGUAAAUAUGACAUUCACAAAAUAUAUCAAGGAGAACACACCUUGGUUCUGAAAGUGAAUGAUAAAUUAGUUAGGUAACAUAUGUGAAUGGUGCAAGUGCAGGUAUGGCCACCAAUUAACAUGAAGAAGUUCGAGACACUCUCAUACCUUCCUCCUCUCACCACCGAACAAUUGGCAAAGGAGGUCGACUACCUUCUCCGUUCCGGAUGGGUUCCUUGUCUGGAAUUCGAGUUGGAGGUAAGCACUUUCUUCCUACACAUUUUUCAUGUUCUCUGUUACAUGUUUCUUGACAUUGCUGAUGACAAUUGUGUGUUAAACCAAUAUGCAGCACGGUUUCGUGUACCGUGAGCACAACAAAUCUCCCGGAUACUAUGACGGACGAUACUGGGUUAUGUGGAAGCUUCCCAUGUUCGGGUGCACCGACUCAUCGCAGGUGUUGAAGGAGCUUGAUGAGUGCGUCAAGGAGUACCCCCAGGCGUACGUCCGUAUCAUCGGAUUCGACAACGUUCGCCAAGUCCAGUGCAUCAGUUUCAUUGCUCACCAGCCAGAAUGCUGAUCAAUCUGUCUGUUGAUUUCAUAUAUUUAUCAAUCUUGUUCGGCUCAUAUAUAAACUUCUUGCAAUCUCAUUUCAUUUCUUUCCGUUUUAAAUUUCUUACUUGUAUCUCCAACACAAGGAAAUUGGAACUAUAGAGGAUUAUAUGUAGCGAUUGUUGGUGAUUAUAUAUAUCUACUUGUUUGUUUUCCCUGCACCUUCUAAAUACUUGCAUCAUAUGCUUUCAUGUCGUGAUGUACUUUUUUAUAUAUCUCCGAUUCUCCAUGCAGUAAUUAACCACUACGGUCUUUUUACACCAACAAAUUAUAUGAUAACAUAUAGAAACAGUUCAUUGCUUCCGUAAUAUCUGCCUUGGUACAUGUUCUCUUGUAUCACUACAAAACCUUUCACGUCCAACAAUGUGAAAGCAAAUUCUCUGUAAUAGAAAUGGACAUCUGCUAGCGACAUUUCAGAUAAUAAUAAAGUGUACUUAUGCACCAUCUGGUUGGAAGGAAUGAACGGGAAAAACAUGAACAAAAUCAAAGGUAAACGAGAAGUAUACAAGAGUGAAGAGUGAUGAAGAACUAGAAAGUGCAGACUUUAUUAUGAGUUUCACAAUAUAAUGAGUAAAAUAUAGGAAUGAUCAUUUAUCCCUAUAUUGGUAAGAUUGAGAUAUUAGUUUUUUUUUGUGUGCCAAACUAGUACAAAUUUCAUUUCAUUCUCCCUAAACGUAAUUCUUCCAACAAAAUGGGGCAUUACAUAAAGGUAUAAAGAUGAGGAGAUUAAAGAUUGACAGCUGCGAUAAGGGAAGGUAUGGAAAACAUGUGUAACUAUAUAAAUGUCGAACACCAAUAAGAUCCAAAUAACUCAGAUAACAUCCAAACUCAGUAACAAAUUGGUUAACAGAUAAAAUUCAGAAGCGAAUGCAAAAUAGUUUAUAAAAUUAGAUUCUAAGAUUCAAAAUUUCUAGUAUUCAGAUUAUAUGCAGAUGAAAGAGGAAGGGAGAUUUAUUGAAUAAUUUAGGCUUGACAAAACACAAUAAAAUGAUACACAUAGACUAGUAUACUCUAAUACUUAAUGAGCAGCAUAUAUUCUUAUUCUUAACUACCGUCUAUUCUAUUAUAUCAAAGAAACAUAAAUUAUUGCAAAGCUGUAAAUUCACAUUAAGAAGCUUAAACAAAUUACACAACUAGAAAUCAACCACUCAAAUUGGAUAUAAUUGGAUAAAUAUCUAAAGAGAUCAUAACUAAGAACCCUAAUUUCAAAGUUAUAAAUGUAUGUAUAUAAAUGAUUCAAAAAUCAGAACUCUGUAACACAAAAAAGCUAGCUGAACUGAGAUGAAGUAGAAAGCAGCAACAAAACAUUUAUGAAUUAAAUAUCUAAAGCUGAUCUAAUUACAAACAUCAACUCACAGUUAUCAAGAGGGGUGUAUUGGAUUGGGAUUUUAAAUCAUUUUUUUGCAUUCAUGAAAUCCGAGGGUAUUCGAUUGAGAUUAUUUGAAAUGCAUUAAAAUCUUGGGGUAUUCAAUUGGGAUUUUGAAUUAUGCUACAAAAUCUGGUGGUAUUCAAUUGGGAUUUUAAAUUAUGCUUUAAAAUCCGGUGGUAUUCAAUUCGGAUUGUUUAAAAUCCAUUAAAAUCUGAUGGUAUUCAAAUGUUGUCGGAUUUUUUUUCAUUUCAUAAAAUGGUGGAUUUUGUGGCAUUGUUCGAUGUAUUUUAAGUUUUAUGAAAUCCCACCAAAAUCAAUGGGAUUUUGAAGCAUUGUGCUUAAAUCCUAUCAACUCUGCGACAUUUCAUCAAGAAUCCGCACAAAAUCAAAAUCACAUGCAAUCCAUUAAAAUCCAUAGACUAAAAACAAUCCAUUAAAAUCUCAAUCGAAUACACCCCCGCAAUUUAUUAAUCAGAUGAGAGGAAGGAAGGGAGAGGGUCAGAGGGAGAGGGAGAGGGAGAGAGAGAGAGAGAGAGGAGUUACAGUGCUACGGCGACGUUCAGCGGCGAUGGAGAAGCCAAAAGCGACCAAGCAUAGUAUUAUUACAAGAAGAUGAACGAGAGAUGAGCCUUUCCCUGCCCCCAUUAUUGUUUCUAAGGGCAUCUUUGAUCACAAUUUCAAGCUUCAUAUUUUUUUCACUUUUAAUUUUAUAGAUAGAUUAAUCAAUCUCCAAUCAUCCAUUUAUCUUCCUAUGUAAAGUCAUUUACUAGAUAAAUUAUAUUAUUUUAUAAAAAAAAAUUAAAUAACGAAAUAUAUGAUCUUUCUCGGAUGAAGAUAACUUGCAAAUUUAAUGGUAUAGUUUAGAAAUUGGGGUUGAGAAGUACCAGUAGUUAUGCUAUAUUUACCUGAUGAUCUCGUAUCGUAACUUUUUUUACACGUGGGAUUUUUUUGCUUACAGCUCAUACUCUAUAACACACUUCCGCCAUUUCACAUGUGACUUCAUCUUUUGACCAGGGUUCUGUAAAUAGAAUUUUGAGCAAGAUCCCCUUAAUACAUAACUGAAUAAACAACACUCGUAGAGAUGAAUUCUGCUGGCGGAACUAGGGAAGAAACCCUAGCUUAGUCAAAGUUUUUUUUUUCUUCCAGAUAUUUGUUUUUUUUCAGAUAUUUUUUUAUUUGAGCUCUUAAAAAUAACAGUGAACCAAUAAAAAGUAUUUAUUGUGCAAAUUUUAAUUCUAGAUUAUUUUGAUUCAUGUCAUAUUGUCAUUGACUAACAGGCCAAAGUCAUUUUGUUAAUGGGCUCUAUUUUCUUGACCAAAAUCAUACUGUUUCCCCUACUAUUAUCCUGAGCCCAUGUUUUCAAAUUUCAAUUACGCCCAACCACCAGUCCAGAGUAGUUGUUGUUGGGCCACAAGGUAACCAUCCAAUGUCUAAACUAAUCAUAGUCCAAAUAAAAUUUUUUCAUAAAAACUGCGUGUACGUGAAUCCAGGGCAGAGGACUGAACAUGACUCCACUUGAGUUGAGCAAGAAAACCGCAAUCAUAUAUCUUUGAUUUUUAAAAUUGAAAACCGCAACCGUCAAUCGGGGUCGGUUUCGGUUUCGGUUUAAGAAACUUCGAUUCGGUUAAUAGUCGGCUCGGUUUCGAUUACAAAAUCGACAAAUAUAAGAAUGAAAAAUAGUACACAAACGAGACAAAUUAAUGCACGUAAUCUAGACAUAAUAAUUAAUAUAAUAUUAAAAUUUAACAAAAGUAACCGUAUUUUAUUUAAAACACUCUUGCCAGUAAUAUAAAACUAGUCUUAGUCAGAAUUUUCAUACAGAAUACGAAUCAGAACUUCCGGCUGAUUGGCUUUUUUAACACAUGCUUCAUGAAGAUUGAGAAAAUGUGACAGGGAAAAUAGGAAAUACAGAUUGGCAGUGGCCAGUCAGCAUGAGAUAUUCACUGAACAUCAAAUAUUAACAUAGACGGAUGUUUCUGUAAGUGUUAGAAUAGAUUUAUUAUAUUUAUUACAUAUUACAUAUAUUAUUUAUUAUUAUUUUAAUAACCGGUUCCGUUUGGUUUUUAUUGGUUCGGUUGGGAGGUAUAACCGGAACCAAACCGUUUAAAUCAGAUCAAUUUUUAAUUUUUCGGUUUCUAAUUGGUUUUUUUGAGUUUUUCCAAAUUUCGAUUCGUUUUGAUUUUAAAUCGGUUUUUUGCUAAGUCCUAAAUUAAGGUAUGGGUUCAAUUAUAGACAAGGUUAAGCUUACUUUUUAAAAAGUCUAACAUCACAAGUAAAUGGUUCACAAGUAAAUGGUCUUAAAACUAUAAAGAAACCAGGAUUGAAGCUCAAAAAUUAUCACCACUACACCCUUUUUUCGUGGUGCAACAAAUUUGGCCUAAAUCAAACGCAAAUCAAACGCAUUUAUACAAGACAAAUGACAGUCUUAAUAUAGGAUUACCCCAUUUUGGUUCAACCAUGAACACUGUUUGAACUAUGCGAUAGUUUCUUUACUAAAAUAUACUUCAGACUCUGGAACUGGAAGGACUAUGGGCCACUUAAAUGCAGCAUAUAUCUUGCAAUUUGAGCUCGAUAAUGGCAAAUUCCAAAUGCAAUCUAUCCACACAUUACACUCAAGUGCGAAAGAAUGAUCCAUGUAUUUUAAGGGUUUUGGUUCCUGGCAUGUGUACAUCAGGGAGUACUUAUAUAACAUACUGAUUUUGGAUCGUUGGAUGAUAUAUGCAUCUAACGGACAUAAUUAUAAAAAAAAUUCGUCAUGCUCAAUUUUUUUUUAUUUGUUUUUUUGCAUAUGAUAUGUAACUUGAAUAAUAAGAGGAAGGGGGAAAGUGAUGCAACUGCAAUUGAAGAAGUCAGUAGUCACUUAUUUAAAUUUCAAAGUACAAAGCCCAAAUAAGCAAUUUCCAAAGAGCUAAGCAAUGAAGGGCCAAGAAAUGGCUAGCUACUGCUAAAGAAAGCAAGUCCUCAUUCCUUGAUCAGAAGAGAUAAGGCAACCGCUCUCAUGCCACGUGUCAACUCAAUAAGAGUGUUUAAUGAUAAGGCAACCAAUCCAAAUUGCUCACACUGUGUGGCUACCAUGUUGCCUUGUCAACUUCACUGUAAUUCAAUGGUCAGAAAAAUUCUGAACUUUAGGAGGUGAAUUGGGAACCAUUGGAUCAGCAGGUUAAACGAUAAUGAGAUGAAAUGCCUAUAUAUUGGAUAGGUGAAGGAACAGAAGCAAGCCUCUCAAACACAAGAGAAGAAAGUAAAAGAACAAGAAGAGAGUAUUAGUACUCAUGGCUUCUUCAAUGAUAUCAUCAGUAGCACCGGUUACCCGUGCAUCCCCUGCUCAGGCUAACAUGGUCGCGCCUUUCACCGGCCUCAAGUCCAUCGCAUCAUUCCCCGUCACCCGAAAGCUUGAGAAUGACAUUACCUCUAUUACCAGCAACGGAGGAAGAGUUCAAUGCAUGAAGGUAUAUAUCUAUACUACUUAAUACUCAGAUAUAUUAUGUGCUAAUGAGGAACCAGUAUAACAUGGCAGAACAUUUCUUAGUUAGUUAUUGCUCAUUUGCUCUCAAAGUAGCACAAUUCUAAGUCAGAUAAAGCAGUCCUAGGUAACUUUAGAGUGAGUAACUUCAGAAUUUUCCUUGAAUAUGUCAAUAAUAUACAAAAAUUAUGUCAACACCUCGAUUAAAAGAUUGUUUUGCUUGUAUUUUCCUCCUGAGCUGAUCUGAGAAAUUUUGUUCUCAAGUCAAACAAUUAGAGACUUUAGCUCAAGAGAAAUGUCACCCCCUGGCAUUGUAGCCUGCGGGAUGUCCUCUAUAUUUUACCAUAGUAACCAUGUCGCCCCUCAAGUGAAGUAGAAUUUAAUUCAAUAAUGAAAUUGAACUACCCAGUAGAGGAAAUUUCUAGUUUUUUUGUAUAAUUUCCACCUUAGCUUGCUCUUAGUAACCCCCCUCAGUCUCAUUAAAUAGUCGGAAAUGUAUAUUCUUAUGAAGACAUGAUCACGUUCUUCAAAUUUUGCAAUCCAACACUGUUUCUAGACAAAUAUACAAUCUGUCGGUUUGUAAUUGAGUAAAUAUGACAUUCACAAAAUAUAUCAAGGAGAACACACCUUGGUUCUGAAAGUGAAUGAUAAAUUAGUUAGGUAACAUAUGUGAAUGGUGCAAGUGCAGGUAUGGCCACCAAUUAACAUGAAGAAGUUCGAGACACUCUCAUACCUUCCUCCUCUCACCACCGAACAAUUGGCAAAGGAGGUCGACUACCUUCUCCGUUCCGGAUGGGUUCCUUGUCUGGAAUUCGAGUUGGAGGUAAGCACUUUCUUCCUACACAUUUUUCAUGUUCUCUGUUACAUGUUUCUUGACAUUGCUGAUGACAAUUGUGUGUUAAACCAAUAUGCAGCACGGUUUCGUGUACCGUGAGCACAACAAAUCUCCCGGAUACUAUGACGGACGAUACUGGGUUAUGUGGAAGCUUCCCAUGUUCGGGUGCACCGACUCAUCGCAGGUGUUGAAGGAGCUUGAUGAGUGCGUCAAGGAGUACCCCCAGGCGUACGUCCGUAUCAUCGGAUUCGACAACGUUCGCCAAGUCCAGUGCAUCAGUUUCAUUGCUCACCAGCCAGAAUGCUGAUCAAUCUGUCUGUUGAUUUCAUAUAUUUAUCAAUCUUGUUCGGCUCAUAUAUAAACUUCUUGCAAUCUCAUUUCAUUUCUUUCCGUUUUAAAUUUCUUACUUGUAUCUCCAACACAAGGAAAUUGGAACUAUAGAGGAUUAUAUGUAGCGAUUGUUGGUGAUUAUAUAUAUCUACUUGUUUGUUUUCCCUGCACCUUCUAAAUACUUGCAUCAUAUGCUUUCAUGUCGUGAUGUACUUUUUUAUAUAUCUCCGAUUCUCCAUGCAGUAAUUAACCACUACGGUCUUUUUACACCAACAAAUUAUAUGAUAACAUAUAGAAACAGUUCAUUGCUUCCGUAAUAUCUGCCUUGGUACAUGUUCUCUUGUAUCACUACAAAACCUUUCACGUCCAACAAUGUGAAAGCAAAUUCUCUGUAAUAGAAAUGGACAUCUGCUAGCGACAUUUCAGAUAAUAAUAAAGUGUACUUAUGCACCAUCUGGUUGGAAGGAAUGAACGGGAAAAACAUGAACAAAAUCAAAGGUAAACGAGAAGUAUACAAGAGUGAAGAGUGAUGAAGAACUAGAAAGUGCAGACUUUAUUAUGAGUUUCACAAUAUAAUGAGUAAAAUAUAGGAAUGAUCAUUUAUCCCUAUAUUGGUAAGAUUGAGAUAUUAGUUUUUUUUUGUGUGCCAAACUAGUACAAAUUUCAUUUCAUUCUCCCUAAACGUAAUUCUUCCAACAAAAUGGGGCAUUACAUAAAGGUAUAAAGAUGAGGAGAUUAAAGAUUGACAGCUGCGAUAAGGGAAGGUAUGGAAAACAUGUGUAACUAUAUAAAUGUCGAACACCAAUAAGAUCCAAAUAACUCAGAUAACAUCCAAACUCAGUAACAAAUUGGUUAACAGAUAAAAUUCAGAAGCGAAUGCAAAAUAGUUUAUAAAAUUAGAUUCUAAGAUUCAAAAUUUCUAGUAUUCAGAUUAUAUGCAGAUGAAAGAGGAAGGGAGAUUUAUUGAAUAAUUUAGGCUUGACAAAACACAAUAAAAUGAUACACAUAGACUAGUAUACUCUAAUACUUAAUGAGCAGCAUAUAUUCUUAUUCUUAACUACCGUCUAUUCUAUUAUAUCAAAGAAACAUAAAUUAUUGCAAAGCUGUAAAUUCACAUUAAGAAGCUUAAACAAAUUACACAACUAGAAAUCAACCACUCAAAUUGGAUAUAAUUGGAUAAAUAUCUAAAGAGAUCAUAACUAAGAACCCUAAUUUCAAAGUUAUAAAUGUAUGUAUAUAAAUGAUUCAAAAAUCAGAACUCUGUAACACAAAAAAGCUAGCUGAACUGAGAUGAAGUAGAAAGCAGCAACAAAACAUUUAUGAAUUAAAUAUCUAAAGCUGAUCUAAUUACAAACAUCAACUCACAGUUAUCAAGAGGGGUGUAUUGGAUUGGGAUUUUAAAUCAUUUUUUUGCAUUCAUGAAAUCCGAGGGUAUUCGAUUGAGAUUAUUUGAAAUGCAUUAAAAUCUUGGGGUAUUCAAUUGGGAUUUUGAAUUAUGCUACAAAAUCUGGUGGUAUUCAAUUGGGAUUUUAAAUUAUGCUUUAAAAUCCGGUGGUAUUCAAUUCGGAUUGUUUAAAAUCCAUUAAAAUCUGAUGGUAUUCAAAUGUUGUCGGAUUUUUUUUCAUUUCAUAAAAUGGUGGAUUUUGUGGCAUUGUUCGAUGUAUUUUAAGUUUUAUGAAAUCCCACCAAAAUCAAUGGGAUUUUGAAGCAUUGUGCUUAAAUCCUAUCAACUCUGCGACAUUUCAUCAAGAAUCCGCACAAAAUCAAAAUCACAUGCAAUCCAUUAAAAUCCAUAGACUAAAAACAAUCCAUUAAAAUCUCAAUCGAAUACACCCCCGCAAUUUAUUAAUCAGAUGAGAGGAAGGAAGGGAGAGGGUCAGAGGGAGAGGGAGAGGGAGAGAGAGAGAGAGAGAGGAGUUACAGUGCUACGGCGACGUUCAGCGGCGAUGGAGAAGCCAAAAGCGACCAAGCAUAGUAUUAUUACAAGAAGAUGAACGAGAGAUGAGCCUUUCCCUGCCCCCAUUAUUGUUUCUAAGGGCAUCUUUGAUCACAAUUUCAAGCUUCAUAUUUUUUUCACUUUUAAUUUUAUAGAUAGAUUAAUCAAUCUCCAAUCAUCCAUUUAUCUUCCUAUGUAAAGUCAUUUACUAGAUAAAUUAUAUUAUUUUAUAAAAAAAAAUUAAAUAACGAAAUAUAUGAUCUUUCUCGGAUGAAGAUAACUUGCAAAUUUAAUGGUAUAGUUUAGAAAUUGGGGUUGAGAAGUACCAGUAGUUAUGCUAUAUUUACCUGAUGAUCUCGUAUCGUAACUUUUUUUACACGUGGGAUUUUUUUGCUUACAGCUCAUACUCUAUAACACACUUCCGCCAUUUCACAUGUGACUUCAUCUUUUGACCAGGGUUCUGUAAAUAGAAUUUUGAGCAAGAUCCCCUUAAUACAUAACUGAAUAAACAACACUCGUAGAGAUGAAUUCUGCUGGCGGAACUAGGGAAGAAACCCUAGCUUAGUCAAAGUUUUUUUUUUCUUCCAGAUAUUUGUUUUUUUUCAGAUAUUUUUUUAUUUGAGCUCUUAAAAAUAACAGUGAACCAAUAAAAAGUAUUUAUUGUGCAAAUUUUAAUUCUAGAUUAUUUUGAUUCAUGUCAUAUUGUCAUUGACUAACAGGCCAAAGUCAUUUUGUUAAUGGGCUCUAUUUUCUUGACCAAAAUCAUACUGUUUCCCCUACUAUUAUCCUGAGCCCAUGUUUUCAAAUUUCAAUUACGCCCAACCACCAGUCCAGAGUAGUUGUUGUUGGGCCACAAGGUAACCAUCCAAUGUCUAAACUAAUCAUAGUCCAAAUAAAAUUUUUUCAUAAAAACUGCGUGUACGUGAAUCCAGGGCAGAGGACUGAACAUGACUCCACUUGAGUUGAGCAAGAAAACCGCAAUCAUAUAUCUUUGAUUUUUAAAAUUGAAAACCGCAACCGUCAAUCGGGGUCGGUUUCGGUUUCGGUUUAAGAAACUUCGAUUCGGUUAAUAGUCGGCUCGGUUUCGAUUACAAAAUCGACAAAUAUAAGAAUGAAAAAUAGUACACAAACGAGACAAAUUAAUGCACGUAAUCUAGACAUAAUAAUUAAUAUAAUAUUAAAAUUUAACAAAAGUAACCGUAUUUUAUUUAAAACACUCUUGCCAGUAAUAUAAAACUAGUCUUAGUCAGAAUUUUCAUACAGAAUACGAAUCAGAACUUCCGGCUGAUUGGCUUUUUUAACACAUGCUUCAUGAAGAUUGAGAAAAUGUGACAGGGAAAAUAGGAAAUACAGAUUGGCAGUGGCCAGUCAGCAUGAGAUAUUCACUGAACAUCAAAUAUUAACAUAGACGGAUGUUUCUGUAAGUGUUAGAAUAGAUUUAUUAUAUUUAUUACAUAUUACAUAUAUUAUUUAUUAUUAUUUUAAUAACCGGUUCCGUUUGGUUUUUAUUGGUUCGGUUGGGAGGUAUAACCGGAACCAAACCGUUUAAAUCAGAUCAAUUUUUAAUUUUUCGGUUUCUAAUUGGUUUUUUUGAGUUUUUCCAAAUUUCGAUUCGUUUUGAUUUUAAAUCGGUUUUUUGCUAAGUCCUAAAUUAAGGUAUGGGUUCAAUUAUAGACAAGGUUAAGCUUACUUUUUAAAAAGUCUAACAUCACAAGUAAAUGGUUCACAAGUAAAUGGUCUUAAAACUAUAAAGAAACCAGGAUUGAAGCUCAAAAAUUAUCACCACUACACCCUUUUUUCGUGGUGCAACAAAUUUGGCCUAAAUCAAACGCAAAUCAAACGCAUUUAUACAAGACAAAUGACAGUCUUAAUAUAGGAUUACCCCAUUUUGGUUCAACCAUGAACACUGUUUGAACUAUGCGAUAGUUUCUUUACUAAAAUAUACUUCAGACUCUGGAACUGGAAGGACUAUGGGCCACUUAAAUGCAGCAUAUAUCUUGCAAUUUGAGCUCGAUAAUGGCAAAUUCCAAAUGCAAUCUAUCCACACAUUACACUCAAGUGCGAAAGAAUGAUCCAUGUAUUUUAAGGGUUUUGGUUCCUGGCAUGUGUACAUCAGGGAGUACUUAUAUAACAUACUGAUUUUGGAUCGUUGGAUGAUAUAUGCAUCUAACGGACAUAAUUAUAAAAAAAAUUCGUCAUGCUCAAUUUUUUUUUAUUUGUUUUUUUGCAUAUGAUAUGUAACUUGAAUAAUAAGAGGAAGGGGGAAAGUGAUGCAACUGCAAUUGAAGAAGUCAGUAGUCACUUAUUUAAAUUUCAAAGUACAAAGCCCAAAUAAGCAAUUUCCAAAGAGCUAAGCAAUGAAGGGCCAAGAAAUGGCUAGCUACUGCUAAAGAAAGCAAGUCCUCAUUCCUUGAUCAGAAGAGAUAAGGCAACCGCUCUCAUGCCACGUGUCAACUCAAUAAGAGUGUUUAAUGAUAAGGCAACCAAUCCAAAUUGCUCACACUGUGUGGCUACCAUGUUGCCUUGUCAACUUCACUGUAAUUCAAUGGUCAGAAAAAUUCUGAACUUUAGGAGGUGAAUUGGGAACCAUUGGAUCAGCAGGUUAAACGAUAAUGAGAUGAAAUGCCUAUAUAUUGGAUAGGUGAAGGAACAGAAGCAAGCCUCUCAAACACAAGAGAAGAAAGUAAAAGAACAAGAAGAGAGUAUUAGUACUCAUGGCUUCUUCAAUGAUAUCAUCAGUAGCACCGGUUACCCGUGCAUCCCCUGCUCAGGCUAACAUGGUCGCGCCUUUCACCGGCCUCAAGUCCAUCGCAUCAUUCCCCGUCACCCGAAAGCUUGAGAAUGACAUUACCUCUAUUACCAGCAACGGAGGAAGAGUUCAAUGCAUGAAGGUAUAUAUCUAUACUACUUAAUACUCAGAUAUAUUAUGUGCUAAUGAGGAACCAGUAUAACAUGGCAGAACAUUUCUUAGUUAGUUAUUGCUCAUUUGCUCUCAAAGUAGCACAAUUCUAAGUCAGAUAAAGCAGUCCUAGGUAACUUUAGAGUGAGUAACUUCAGAAUUUUCCUUGAAUAUGUCAAUAAUAUACAAAAAUUAUGUCAACACCUCGAUUAAAAGAUUGUUUUGCUUGUAUUUUCCUCCUGAGCUGAUCUGAGAAAUUUUGUUCUCAAGUCAAACAAUUAGAGACUUUAGCUCAAGAGAAAUGUCACCCCCUGGCAUUGUAGCCUGCGGGAUGUCCUCUAUAUUUUACCAUAGUAACCAUGUCGCCCCUCAAGUGAAGUAGAAUUUAAUUCAAUAAUGAAAUUGAACUACCCAGUAGAGGAAAUUUCUAGUUUUUUUGUAUAAUUUCCACCUUAGCUUGCUCUUAGUAACCCCCCUCAGUCUCAUUAAAUAGUCGGAAAUGUAUAUUCUUAUGAAGACAUGAUCACGUUCUUCAAAUUUUGCAAUCCAACACUGUUUCUAGACAAAUAUACAAUCUGUCGGUUUGUAAUUGAGUAAAUAUGACAUUCACAAAAUAUAUCAAGGAGAACACACCUUGGUUCUGAAAGUGAAUGAUAAAUUAGUUAGGUAACAUAUGUGAAUGGUGCAAGUGCAGGUAUGGCCACCAAUUAACAUGAAGAAGUUCGAGACACUCUCAUACCUUCCUCCUCUCACCACCGAACAAUUGGCAAAGGAGGUCGACUACCUUCUCCGUUCCGGAUGGGUUCCUUGUCUGGAAUUCGAGUUGGAGGUAAGCACUUUCUUCCUACACAUUUUUCAUGUUCUCUGUUACAUGUUUCUUGACAUUGCUGAUGACAAUUGUGUGUUAAACCAAUAUGCAGCACGGUUU
rnacentral:lncRNA from 1 species